GAUGAACGCUGGCGGCGUGCCUAAUACAUGCAAGUCGAGCGAACAGACGAGGAGCUUGCUCCUUUGACGUUAGCGGCGGACGGGUGAGUAACACGUGGAUAACCUACCUAUAAGACUGGGAUAACUUCGGGAAACCGGAGCUAAUACCGGAUAACAUGUUGAACCGCAUGGUUCAACAGUGAAAGACGGUCUUGCUGUCACUUAUAGAUGGAUCCGCGCCGCAUUAGCUAGUUGGUAAGGUAACGGCUUACCAAGGCAACGAUGCGUAGCCGACCUGAGAGGGUGAUCGGCCACACUGGAACUGAGACACGGUCCAGACGCCUACGGGAGGCAGCAGUAGGGAAUCUUCCGCAAUGGGCGAAAGCCUGACGGAGCAACGCCGCGUGAGUGAAGAAGGUCUUCGGAUCGUAAAACUCUGUUAUUAGGGAAGAACAAAUGUGUAAGUAACUAUGCACGUCUUGACGGUACCUAAUCAGAAAGCCACGGCUAACUACGUG
rnacentral:rRNA from 1 species